rnacentral:rRNA from 1 species
GGCUCAGGAUGAACGCUAGCGGCAGGCUUAAUACAUGCAAGUCGAGGGGCAGCAUGGUGUAGCAAUACACUGAUGGCGACCGGCAAACGGGUGCGGAACACGUACAGAACCUUCCUUCGAGCGGGGAAUAGCCCUGAGAAAUUUGGAUUAAUACCCCAUAGUAUAGCGGAGAGGCAUCUCUCUGUUAUUAAAGAUUUAUCACUUGAAGAUGGCUGUGCGGCUGAUUAGGUAGUUGGCGGGGUAACGGCCACCAAGCCUGCGAUCAGUAACUGGUGUGAGAGCACGACCAGUCACACGGGCACUGAGACACGGGCCCGACUCCUACGGGAGGCAGCAGUAAGGAAUAUUGGUCAAUGGACGAAAGUCUGAACCAGCCAUGCCGCGUGGAGGAUGGAGGUCCUCUGGAUUGUAAACUUCUUUUAUAUGGGACGAAAAAAGGUCUUUCUAGAUCGUCUGACGGUACCAUAUGAAUAAGCACCGGCUAACUCCGUG